UCCUACGGGAGGCAGCAGUAGGGAAUCUUCCGCAAUGGACGAAAGUCUGACGGAGCAACGCCGCGUGAGUGAUGAAGGCUUUCGGGUCGUAAAACUCUGUUGUUAGGGAAGAACAAGUGCUAGUUGAAUAAGCUGGCACCUUGACGGUACCUAACCAGAAAGCCACGGCUAACUACGUGCCAGCAGCCGCGGUAAUACGUAGGUGGCAAGCGUUAUCCGGAAUUAUUGGGCGUAAAGCGCGCGCAGGUGGUUUCUUAAGUCUGAUGUGAAAGCCCACGGCUCAACCGUGGAGGGUCAUUGGAAACUGGGAGACUUGAGUGCAGAAGAGGAAAGUGGAAUUCCAUGUGUAGCGGUGAAAUGCGUAGAGAUAUGGAGGAACACCAGUGGCGAAGGCGACUUUCUGGUCUGUAACUGACACUGAGGCGCGAAAGCGUGGGGAGCAAACAGGAUUAGAUACCCUGGUAGUCCACGCCGUAAACGAUGAGUGCUAAGUGUUAGAGGGUUUCCGCCCUUUAGUGCUGAAGUUAACGCAUUAAGCANCCGNCCUGGGGAGUACGGCCGCA
rnacentral:rRNA from 1 species